rnacentral:rRNA from 1 species
GUAAUCACUUGUCUUCUAAAUAAAGACCCGUAUGAACGGCCAAAUGAGGACAAACCUGUCUCUUAUAACUAAUCAGUGAAACUGAUCUACCAGUACAAAAGCUGGUAUAUCAACAUAAGACGAGAAGACCCUGUGGAGCUUAAGACAAAAUACUAACUCAACAUAGUAUAUAAUCUUCAGUUGGGGCGACUUCGGAACAAAACAAAACUUCCGAGCAGAGAACCACAACCUCUUACCAAGACCAACAGGCCUAAGAAAAACUGACCCGGCCCACGCCGAUCAACGAACCAAGUUACCCCAGGGAUAACAGCGCUAUCUUCUUUAAGAGUCCAUAUCGACAAGAAGGUUUACGACCUCGAUGUUGGAUCAGGACACCCAGGUGGUGCAGCCGCUACCAAAGGUUCGUUUGUUCAACGAUUAACAGU